rnacentral:rRNA from 1 species
AUUGAACGCUGGCGGCAUGCCUUACACAUGCAAGUCGAACGGCAGCACGGGUGCUUGCACCUGGUGGCGAGUGGCGAACGGGUGAGUAAUACAUCGGAACGUACCUUAUCGUGGGGGAUAACGCAGCGAAAGCUGUGCUAAUACCGCAUACGCCCUGAGGGGGAAAGCGGGGGAUUGCAAGACCUCGCGCGAUUAGAGUGGCCGAUGCCUGAUUAGCUAGUUGGUGGGGUAAAAGCCCACCAAGGCGACGAUCAGUAGCUGGUCUGAGAGGACGAUCAGCCACACUGGGACUGAGACACGGCCCAGACUCCUACGGGAGGCAGCAGUGGGGAAUUUUGGACAAUGGGGGCAACCCUGAUCCAGCAAUGCCGCGUGAGUGAAGAAGGCCUUCGGGUUGUAAAGCUCUUUUGUCAGGGAAGAAACACCGGCUCUAACACAGUCCGGGAAUGACGGUACCUGAAGAAUAAGCACCGGCUAACUACGUGCCAGCCGCCGCCGUAA